CUGGUUGAUCCUGCCAGUAGUUAUAUGGUUGUCUCAAAGAUCAAGCCAUGCAUGUCUAAGUACUUGCCGUUGUAAUGCGAACCCGCGAAUGGCUCAUUAAAUCAGUUAUGGUUCCUUGGAUCGUACCUUACUACUUGGAUAACUGUGGAAAUUCUAGAGCUAAUACAUGCAGCAGAGCCCGACCCUCUGGAGACGAGCGCUUUUAUUAGACCAAAACCAAUCGGACUUCGUGUCCGUAUUAUGUGGUGACUCUGUAUAACUGUAGGCUAAUCGUACGGGCUAGUCCCGACGACGUAUCGUUCAAAUGUCUGCGUUAUCAACUGUCGAUGGUAGGUUACGCGCCUACAGUGGUCGCAACGGGUGACGGGGAAUUAGGAUUCGAUUCCGGAGAGAGAGCCUGAAGAAGAAGAAGCGGUUCCAGAGAAGCGGCUACCAGAUCCAAGAAAGGCAGCAAGAGCGCAAAUUACCUCACAGAACGGAGAGAUAGUGUCGAAAAAUAACAAUACGGGACUCUUUAGAGACUCCGUAAUUGGAAUGAGUACACUCUAAAUAAUGAGGAUCAGUUGGAGGGUAGAGCAUAAGACAUUUAAAUAAAAUAAUAACCACAUUUCUUUUAAAUAUUAGUUCAAAUGGUGGUUUGCUGAAAAGAUUUACUGAUCUUAAUUAAAUCUUCUGAAACUUAUAGU
rnacentral:ncRNA from 1 species